UCUAAUUCACGGUGGUUAAACGGCCAUGAACAGGUUGUAAAGUGGAAGAUAUUUUUUAGUUUGUGUACUAUUAAGUAAUAACGAUACAUUAUGUAUUAUUUGACAUCUUCUGGAUAUAUUACAAGUAAAGAAAAUUAUUAUUUAUUAACAACAAUUGAUCAAAGCCAACCGAAAGAUAGGCUUGUUAGGAACCACGUGAGGGAGGAGCUGCAAAAUUCUUCAUAUAUUUGAUACGACAUAUUAGUGCAAUGUCUUCAGUGUGGUUUCCGGCUAGAGGAUUUUCAUGAUGGAUACAGGAAAGACACCUUUUGCCAAGUUAUGGAAAAACUACCAUGUGAUUGAAGGUUACCAAACUACCAUGUGAUUGAAGGAAAUUGACCUGUUCUUAUACGCUCAGCCAUUUCUCUUAUUGGAAGAAGGAAAUAGUACCACUGUUAAAGUAUUUUUGGCAAGUGGAAAAGCAAAAAAAUACCUCAGCCUCACCAAAACUAUCCAUAUGGUAUUCUGAGUCAGCUUUGACAGUAAACUAAGCCUAAGGACCUGUUAUUGGCUCAUGAACUUAUUCCUCAGCAUCUUUGUUGUGAACAUCCACAUAGGGUUGACCAGAUCAGUCAGUUUACUUGCUUUUAGUAGAAGUCCUGAAUUAUAUUAGUGUUUUGUCAUGUUUAAUAGGUUGGACCACUACACACCCUUUCCCACAAUUGUUGUAAUUGGUAUGUAAGUGUUAUUCAUCUAUAGAAUCAUUUAAUUUAGUUUGAGUUUUUACUUGUUUGUAAGUUACAGCAAUAUGACACUACCCCUACAAUAAUGUAUUAUAAAAUUUCAACAUAAUUUGAACUGUUGGAAUUUUUAGCAAAAUCAUGUAAUGUAAAACUAUUACUAAAUCAUGUAAUGACAACUGUGCCAUGUUACCAGAAUGUAAUAUUGAUUAUCUCUUAAGUUUAAAAGUAAUUUGUUGUGUGAUUAUUCUAAAUUGCCUAACGUAUUGCAGUUUUUACGACUGAUAUAAGACCACUGCUACUAAUUGAAUUAAUAAAUGUUUUAUUGUUUAAGAUUAAAAUAACCUUCAGCUAUUAUAAAGUGUUAUUCAACCACCGCGAAGGGACAACGCUGUUGUCCAUUAUUAGAAGUAUUUCAUUACCUUAUAAUUUGGGCACUGUAUUACCAUUUUGGCACAAAAUUAAUAUGAAGCUACUAAUACCAUUAUUUAUUAGACUUUGUAUUGUUGAGAAGUAAAUAAAAUUACAACUCUUAGACAUUAUAAUUCAACUAACCCUAAGUGAUAAUACUGUACUAUAAUUGUGGAAUAUUAUGUAAAAUCGUUUGAUUAACUUUAUGAAAUUUAGAGGUAAUGUAUGCAAAAUUUGUUCUAAUUUGGCCACUGUUGCCAUUUUUUCCAAAAGAAUUAACUGUACUAUUACUAUCUGUAUUACUAGAUCAUUGUGUAAUAGAUGAUCACAUAUUUCAGCUCAAAUAAACUAGUCAUUAACUAUGUUAAGUGACAAAGCUCUUGUGAAGCAGUUGUCAUGUAAUGUUGUGAGAUCAUUUUGAUUACCUCAUGUGUGGUUUCUAGAUCUAAUAAAGUGUUAUAUCUCUGCUAAA
rnacentral:lncRNA from 1 species